AAAGACUUGUAGAACCUAUGUAUUGAAGCUGUUCUGGUGGCUUGUGGUGGCCCAACACCUUAUUUAAGACUUACCUUAUGUUGGCUUUAUGUUGGCUUUAUCUUUAAUUUGUCACCUGUCUGUAAGUUCCUAAAGGCCAAAGGACCAAUAAGAGAGAUGAGUUUAUAUUAGCAGUCUGUUUUAGCCCAACCCAGUCCUCUCCACCCUUUGACACACUACUGUACAUAAAUACAGCUCAUGGAGUUAUGCAUGUGUCUCACUGCGCACUACACACACAUCUCUGCAAUCACACACUUCUCCAGCAUGCACACAGGACUGCUCUCUCUGUGGGUGACAGGGGUUUUGUUGCUGCCUCAGUGUUUGGGCUAGGCGUGCAGAACUGUGGAACUUUUGCAUACUGCAAAACACUUUGACAUCAAGGUUAUACAGAUGAUAGUGAAUUUGAUUAUGCGACACAGACCGCAGGAUACACCGACUAUACAGAUUACUCCUUUGAAUAUGAAUCUGACUAUAAUACAACCAGUAUAAAUUAUGAUAUGUAUGUAACUCCCAAUCAAGGCAAUAAACAUGGAGAAUCCAAUUCAGUAAACGAAGAAGCAGUCCGCGGUGGCAUGAACCCGAUAAAUGAUGAGGCCUCAACAGUGUGUAGAUACUGUGCUGUAGGACUGGGACUUAUAGUGCAACGGUUCUGCCAAUAAACAUGACUGGGAUUUUUACACACACAGCCUGAACAAAGGGCUGAAAGAAUUUGGAUUUUCGGGCACUGCAGGAUGCCAUUUCAGAUGCCCAAGCAGCUUGACCUUUUCUUCAGAGGGUGCACUGUGGGUUCUUUUUAACUGUUCUUUUAAGCAUUUAUUCUGAGUUUUGUAAAACCUUCAUUAAAUAUAAAGUGUACACUGUAGAAUUUGGCCAAGCAAUAGUGACUUAUACAUUGGUUCAUCAAAAAGCCCUAGAAAGAUACACUUACUAUUACCCAUGCCUAAUUCACUUACAUUGUAAGCUAGCCACAUAGGCGUCACAAUGGAUCGUGAGCCUUUUUUUAUUGAAAAAAACCCCAAAACAAAUACAAAACAGAUAUCAGGUACAGAACUUAAUGUAAAGUUGCUGGCAGCAUACAUAGUAAAUUAUAGGGUUGAAUAUUAAUAGCAAAUAUGAAUAUAUUUUUAUUAACAAAUUGGGCAGAAUUCCACCUCCAUUUUUUUUAAAAAGAACAAUCAAUCAUGUAAUUGUAUGCAAACAAAUGUUUUUACACAACUUUAAAGCAUCAAACAUUUCAUUUUGGAAGCACCAACCUCUCAUUCAGACUUUGUAAAUCAAACAGAGUUGGAUAUAGAGAGAUUGAUGGAGAGAUAGAAAUAAAGCAGAAUGAUUUUUUAUAUUAAUUGUUAUAAUGAUGUUAGGGAGAAAACAAUUAUUACCGUGAUGUUACAGAAAACAAACAAACAAUAUCCAAUAUUACCGCAUGAGUGUAGAACACUCAUUUUUAAGCUGUUUGGCAAUCUCUUUGGCAUAAAAAACACACAAUUUGCUUAUACUCUUACAAAAAACGGUUCCUUAAGGGAUCAGUUUGCUUACACUCUCACAAAAAGGUCCUUCACUCCCUAAAGAGCUUUACUUGAAACCCU
ensembl:lncRNA